UGAGGAAUAUUGGUCAAUGGGCGAGAGCCUGAACCAGCCAAGUAGCGUGCAGGAUGACGGCCCGAUGGGUUGUAAACUGCUUUUAUAUGGGAAUAAAGUGAGGGACGUGUCCCUUAUUGCAUGUACCAUACGAAUAAGGACCGGCUAAUUCCGUGCCAGCAGCCGCGGUAAUACGGAAGGUCCAGGCGUUAUCCGGAUUUAUUGGGUUUAAAGGGAGCGUAGGCUGUUUCUUAAGCGUGUUGUGAAAUGUAAGAGCUCAACUUUUAGAUUGCAGCGCGAACUGGCAGACUUGAGUGCGCACAACGUAGGCGGAAUUCAUGGUGUAGCGAUGAAAUGCUUAGAUAUCAUGACGAACUCCGAUUGCGAAGGCAGCUUACGGGAGCGCAACUGACGCUAAAGCUCGAAGGUGCGGGUAUCGAACAGG
rnacentral:rRNA from 1 species